rnacentral:snRNA from 1 species
AUCUUUUACACUGCAACACAUACACUAAAAUUGGAACAAUACAGAGAUUAUUAGCAGGGCUGCUAUGUAAGGAUGACAUGAAAAUUCAUGAAGAUUCUAGGUAUAAAGUAUAU